CUUUACUUACCUGUCAUGUUAAUUAUCGAGAGUAUACCUAUUAAAAACACAUGAAUAUGUUUUUUUUAGCUCCUUUGUCGUCCUCGAGACGGAAACGUGAUUCUUCUUCUCUUAACUGGUCAAAUAUUCCUUUUGAUCGGCUUUUGACUAUGUUGCUGUGUGUGGUCGGGGCCCCGACGCAUGGAUUGCUCGGCUGAAGGGACAGCGGGUGUGUUGGUCUCAACGGUGGGGUGGUGUGCUGGGCCUCGGCGGUGAGGCCGAAUGUUUGGUGAAUUUGAGUGUGUGCAGCCGGGGCUCCGACGUGAGGUGUGCUCAGCUGCUGAGACGGCAGGUGCGCUGGUCUUGACUGUGAGGUGCCGUGUCUCCACGAGAGGCCUCGGCGGCGAGGCUGAAUGGGCGGCCAGGGCUCCGGCGCGAGGUGGAUUCGGCUGCUACUACGGCGGGUGCGCUGGUCUAGGCUGCGAGGUGUUGGAACAAGAGGCCUCGGCGGCGAGGCUGAAGGAGUGGCCGGGGCUCCGGCGCGUGUGCGGACCGGCUGCUACUUGGGCGUUUCGGUGGGCUCGGUGGCGCUGGACUGCUUCAUGGUCUGGAGGUUCCGCAGCGGGGGUUCUCCCUUCGCUGUUCAUGCAGCAGCUGCGGGCGAGGCUGGUUCCAGCUUUGAACCCAAAAGUGGGCCUCUCGGGCUCUGGCUCCGCUGUUACCACCACUUCCCCGAGGUGCUGCUGCGGAGGUUCCUCCCUUGCUACAGGAUCCUGCGGCAGCUGCGGCCGUUGCUGGUUCCAGCUCGAUCCGAAAGCGGGCCUCGAGUGGUUCAGGUAGGAGUGGUGUCGGACGGGUCGUUUGGCAGAGGCCGUUGUACGGCUGGCAGGAGCGGGUUCGGUGUACUGGUUCGUGCGUUUCGUCGUGCGGCGGCGGUUGGUGGUGGCCGACGUCUUUGGUAACGUCGGGUGGUGCGAGGUGUUCGGCCCAGACCCUCCUUCAUCGCGACGCUUGUCGGGGGCCGUCCUGGUGGGCGUGGUACGUCUCCGGUGUUGGGCCCCACGGGUCGUCGGGUUUGGCCGUGGUGCGGCCGGCCCCGUGUGGUGUUGGGGAAGGGUCUCCCGGUCGAGACGGUUUGUCGAGGCGGUUCGGUCCCUCCGGCCUUCUACGUCGAGGUCUAGGUGGGUACCGGCGGUGCUCGACCGCCGGGUGGUGGUGCGCGCAAGCGGGAUGGCGGGCGCGCCGGGUCCUGCCGAUCGCGGCGGCGUAGGGCGGCUGCCGGACGCGGGACGACCUAGGCCCGUGCUUCGGGCGUAGGCGGCAGUUGGCCGUGCGGCGGUACUGAGGUGGCGUUCCUCCUCCCUUCCUGCUGCGACGGCGUUAGACCCCGGCGGCGGGGUCGCGGGUCGCGGUGGCGCGUCGUCUUCUCCGGUCAUCCGGUCUAGGCGGGGCCGCAUGCCGGGGCACUUCGUGCGGCUCGGCAAGUCCCGGCAGGUCGCGCGUGCUGUCUCGUUCCUCUCCGGGCGGUGACGGCCGACGGUGUGCCCGAAACGGGCCGCCACUGCGGGCUGGCGUCGUUCCCCCCGCUCCCGAUUCACCUCCCCCCGCCGCCGCACGUUCCAAAGCGGGCUCAGCGGGGGCGGACCUCUCGCUGCGCUCGCCGUUCAACAGAACGACACAUGAAUAUGUUACUUACUUGUAAUGUUAAUGAAAAUAUCACUACAACCAACGUAUCUUUAAGAUCGAAAGACACAAUAAAGAAUACGACUAAAAGAAUAAGAAACGAUAUUAACACACACCAAAGGAUCCCACCUCUCCGCUUGGAGUUUACGCGUUGUAGACUAGAACGAACGACCCAACGAUAAGGACCUGGUAACUUAUCAUGAGUCUCGUAUGUGGAUAAGCACGGAGUAAUACGACGUGAACCUACUUCAAAGGAUCUUAUCAACCGUCAAAUGUAACUGUACCGUCCGUCCCUACACCUUACUGUUUUCUACUAUGAGGGAGGCAAGAUUUUAUCUACUGAGUUGAAAUAUGAUUGAAAUCAUAUUUCAAUCAUAUUUCAACCCAGUAGAUAAAACCUUACCUCCCUCAUAAAACCUUCUCGACCAAGACCUCGACUACAUAUGCAUGAAACUCAUGAAGGUUAUUACAAAAGAUGAAGGUUUCAACAAACCCACCAUUUAAUAAAAUGUUCAAACGUUCGUAUAUAAAUAAUUAAAAGGUGGGCAACGUGGCGUGUACGGAAAACCGAACCGGAAGCGGGAGGUGCGUGCGGUCGACGCCACCUUCCGAUCGAGGAUGUCGAGACAUCACUCCGUGCGUCUCUCACUGCUGUUGAAGACUUCGGUACCGAUCGGACACUAAUAGUCUCACCGCUACUCACACUAAACCUAUGGACAAAACAAACGAGGAAGACAAAACUAAACUCAACUACCCCUACUCUACACUGGGACGACAACCCGCAGCGUUUACGGUGCCGAGGUACAUACGGGGUCGAAACCACUACGUGCUGGGAUUAGUUUACCAGACGACGUCAAAUUAAGAUAUGUACCUACCGUGCUAGAGUGACAACAGGUUUUUAGCAGAAUAACCACAGCACACGUAUAUAAAUAAUUACCUAAGUCAAA
rnacentral:rRNA from 1 species